rnacentral:rRNA from 1 species
AGGUUAAGCUGGAAAGGGCGCACGGUGGAUGCCUUGGCACUAGGAGCCGAUGAAGGACGGGGCAAACGCCGAAACGCUUCGGGGAGCUGUAAGCAAGCGUUGAUCCGGAGAUGUCCGAAUGGGGGAACCCACUGUCCG